UGGGGAAUAUUGGACAAUGGGCGAAAGCCUGAUCCAGCCAUGCCGCGUGUGUGAAGAAGGUCUUCGGAUUGUAAAGCACUUUAAGUUGGGAGGAAGGGUUGUAGAUUAAUACUCUGCAAUUUUGACGUUACCGACAGAAUAAGCACCGGCUAACUCUGUGCCAGCAGCCGCGGUAAUACAGAGGGUGCAAGCGUUAAUCGGAAUUACUGGGCGUAAAGCGCGCGUAGGUGGUUUGUUAAGUUGGAUGUGAAAUCCCCGGGCUCAACCUGGGAACUGCAUUCAAAACUGACUGACUAGAGUAUGGUAGAGGGUGGUGGAAUUUCCUGUGUAGCGGUGAAAUGCGUAGAUAUAGGAAGGAACACCAGUGGCGAAGGCGACCACCUGGACUAAUACUGACACUGAGGUGCGAAAGCGUGGGGAGCAAACAGGAUUAGAUACCCGAGUAGUCCCUGAGCGGGCUGGCAAGGCGCAU
rnacentral:rRNA from 1 species